rnacentral:tRNA from 1 species
GUAGGUAUAGUUUAAAAAAAAAUAUUAGACUGUGAAUCUAACAAUAGAAGCUCGCCACCUUCUUACUUACC